UAGGGAAUUUUCGUCAAUGGGGGGAACCCUGAACGAGCAAUGCCGCGUGUGUGAAGAAGGUCUUCGGAUCGUAAAGCACUGUUGUAAGUGAAGAAUGCCAUAUAGAGGAAAUGCUAUGUGGGUGACGGUAGCUUACCAGAAGGCCACGGCUAACUACGUGCCAGCAGCGCGUAAUACGUAGGUGGCAAGCGUUAUCCGGAAUCAUUGGGCGUAAAGGGUGCGUAGGUGGCACGAUAAGUCUGAAGUAAAAGGCAACAGCUCAACUGUUGUAUGCUUUGGAAACUGUCGAGCUAGAGUGCAGAAGAGGGCGAUGGAAUUCCAUGUGUAGCGGUAAAAUGCGUAGAUAUAUGGAGGAACACCAGUGGCGAAGGCGGUCGCCUGGUCUGUAACUGACACUGACGCACGAAAGCGUGGGGGAGCAAAUAGGAUUAGAUACC
rnacentral:rRNA from 1 species